ensembl:lncRNA
ACAUUAGGGUGGAGAACACGAUGCCUUGCCCACUUAAAAAAUUCACCAAUGCAUUUUUGGGUAUGUUGGAGUUACACAACGAAAUGCAACUGAAAAGAAGUACUGGGCAGAGCCCAAGACGGCACAUCGAGCCAUGAACAAAUUGGUGUUCUCUCUUCUUUGCUGGUACGUAGCAUGAGCCAGGCUGCUGUGCUUGGAUGGAAGCAGCACUCAUCUCAUCUGUUACAUUGCACUAAAGGACAAGCAAAAAACCGAAGGAGAGGGAGGUUACUGGAAGUGUGGGACACAGAAUUACGGAACCUCAGGUGUUGGAAAGGACCUCUGGAGAUCACCCAGUCUAACCCCCUGCUUCAGCAGGUUCCCUACAGCAGAUCACACAGCUAGGCAUCCAGAACAAAGUGAACACUGAUUUUGGAGGAAGAGAGGCAAAAAGCAAGAAAAGACCAUGGAUUAGAGAAGUAAAGAUUGAAAGGGCAAGGAGGAAAUGAAAGGCCUCAGCUCAAUUCUGUAGUGAAUCAACAACCUUUCUCAAAGAGGAAAAAAGAAAACUAGCAUGUAUGGCUAGAAAGUGGCUAGAUGGUGUCACAGAACUCAAGAAUGAGAAAGUUCUGAGAAUACAACCUCACACUGCACCUCCUGGUGAAGAAUGAGACUGUCUUGUUUGAAGAUAAUCUCCGUACACCCUCCCAUUCUGAGGCUGGUGAGAGCAAACAAAUCUGAUGUAGGAUCCUAAGGCUUCAAUGAGCUGUUUAUCCUAAAACAUUUUGGAGCAGUUGAUAUUCCUGUGUGCAAACUACACUUCAAAUAGAAAAGAUUUGUCUUAGUUAUCAUUUGCAGAUCCUUUAGAAGUAGUCUAUGAACAACUAUGGUUGUUAAAAAGAAACUUACAAUUUUUUGCUUUAAAAAAUCUGUUGCUGGGAAGCCGACAACUAGUUUCUCCAAAAAAAUACUGGACUAUUUAUUUAUUUAUGGAGAAUGUAUUUCCUGAGUUGACCUCUAUUGUCCAGUGUGGCUCACAAAAAAAAAAACCAAAAAGUGGAUCUAUGUCUUCAGAACUACAAUGAGCCAGCCAAUUAAAUCACAUCCUGAAAUUGUUUUCUUUUUUUGAUAGAAGAAAACUCUAUCAGUAGGAUAAAAGUCCCCCAUUACUGUCCCGUUCCCAGUUCCUCCAGGUGGCACUCAUACAAGAUAUGCAUACAUACAGGGAAUCUAGGAAGAAAAUGAGUGCCCAUUUCUCUGCCACAAAUGACAUGCUGGGAAAUAGAGAACCAUGGAGAAACAGUUCUAGUUUGUUUUUCUUACUGUUCUUAGAAAUAUGUUUCCUAUUCCCUCAUUUAUUUAAUACUGCAUUCAUCUAAGCUAUUUUAUGCAAAACCACCUGGUGGUGCUUUCUUCUUCUGUGCCCUUAAUUAUGUAUCUUAUAUUGGAAUGUUCAGUCUUACAAAGGUAGAAGGUUUCUUUUAUUUACCUUUUUAGAAAGUAUACAUGUUCCCUGGAUAGAAUCUAGUAAAUCAACAGUAAGCAAAAUCUGUAUGAAAUGGGGAACAAGUGUGCUGCACAGAGAAUUUAGGAUAAGAGAAAUUGCAAGCAGCAAGAUUUUCCUAAAAGUGUAAUUGUACAUACUGAACAUAAGUUCAGUGCAAGAAUCUGACUAUAUAGCUAGGAAGGCUCAAGCUAUUUCAUAUCAAAAGUAUUCAAUUUCAACAAAUUCUGGAAAACAUCUAGUUUGAACUGCUAAACAUGAGAUUUUAUAACAUUUAGUAAUAGCACUGGAUUUUAAUGAUAGUAUAAUGUUUUUCUUUCCCUCCAUAAUUUUCUUGUAUUCACUUUUUAUUUUAAGUAUGUGUGUCAAACAUUCAGCUUGUGAGAUUAUAUAAUAAAUGGCAUAC